AACGAACGCUGGCGGCAUGCCUAACACAUGCAAGUCGAACGAGACCUUCGGGUCUAGUGGCGCACGGGUGCGUAACGCGUGGGAACCUGCCCUUAGGUUCGGAAUAACUCCCCGAAAGGGGUGCUAAUACCGGAUAAUGUCUUCGGACCAGAGAUUUAUCGCCUUUGGAUGGGCCCGCGUUGGAUUAGCUAGUUGGUAGGGUAAAAGCCUACCAAGGCGACGAUCCAUAGCUGGUCUGAGAGGAUGAUCAGCCACACUGGGACUGAGACACGGCCCAGACUCCUACGGGAGGCAGCAGUGGGGAAUAUUGGACAAUGGGCGAAAGCCUGAUCCAGCAAUGCCGCGUGAGUGAUGAAGGCCUUAGGGCUGUAAAGCUCUUUUACCCGGGAUGAUAAUGACAGUACCGGGAGAAUAAGCUCCGGCUAACUCCGUG
rnacentral:rRNA from 1 species